GACAGUCAUAUCAUGUUGAAACAUCAGUUUCCAUAUGAUCACCAAAGUUAAGCAAUGUUGAGCCUUAUCAGUACCAAGAUAGGUGACUGCUUGAGAAUACCAGGUGCUGUAAG